rnacentral:tRNA from 1 species
GAAAAUAAUAGUUUGUCCUUAUCCUGCUAAGUUAAAGGACUCGCAGUUCAACUCUGUGGUAUUCUCG